UUAAAAAACAUGUCUGUGUGAAUUAGUUAUAAAGUCUAGCCUGCCCACUGAUUUAUUUAAAGGGCCGCGGUAAUUUGACCGUGCGAAGGUAGCAUAGUCAGUAGUCUUUUAAUUGGAGGCUUGAAUGAAUGGUUGGACGAGGGAUGAACUGUCUUCUUUACGUGAGUUGAAUUUAACUUUUGAGUGAAAAGGCUCAAAUUAACUAAUGGGACGAUAAGACCCUAUAAAACUUAAUAUAAAUUUAGUUUAAUUUGUGACAUAAGUGAAAAGUGGUUAUACUUCAUUUAUAUUUCGUUGGGGAGAUGUAGAUAUAAAAGUAACUGUCUAUUAAAUUUAAUAGCCAUAGUUAGUAAUCGAUCCUUCUUUGGGGAUUAAAAGAGUAAGUUACUUUAGGGAUAACAGCGUGAUUUUCUUUGAGAGUUCUUAUCGACAAGAGUAGUUGCGACCUCGAUGUUGAAUUAAAAUUUCAGCUAGGUGUAGCCGUUUAGCUGGUGGGUCUGUUCGACCUUUAAAAUUUUACGUGAUCUG
rnacentral:rRNA from 1 species